rnacentral:tRNA from 1 species
AGUUACUUGGCUGAUAGGAAAGCCCGUGUUUUGAAAGCUCGCCAUAGAGGUUCGAGUCCUCUAGUAACUU